rnacentral:rRNA from 1 species
GCUUGUAGCCAUAUCAUCCUGCAACUUGCAACUGGCAGCCCACGCAGCAGGUGUGAGCCUGGUCAGUACCUGGAUGGGAGACCUCCUGGGAAAAACUAUGGUUGCUGCUGGAA